CAGACUGCGGUGUUUGAGCUCCUGUCGACCUGGACGCUCAGGAGCACUUUGACGGGUGAGGAGACGGGAUAUCAAACAGUUUGAGAGGACCAUGAAGGCACAUCUGGCUCAUCAACCUUUCCUUCCCUCUGCAAACAAAUUUCUGCAGUUCAAAUGGGACAAGGCUUCAUAUGACUUACACAGGGAAAAGGUGAAGUCAGCAAAAUCAGUGUUAAACACCACUGCACCGAAGACCUACCCUCACCUGACUCAGGGCCUGAAGAAACGAAAGCUUGCAGAGGAAUGGAACAUGAAGGUGCAGAGGGAAAACGAUAUUCUUCUUGAAAAGAUAUUUCACAUCAUGAAGACAUCUGGAGGAGUUGACGACAGGAAUUAUUAUAAAAG